rnacentral:rRNA from 1 species
ACGGAAGGCAGCAGUGGGGAAUAUUGGGCAAUGGGGGAAACCCUGACCCAGCAACGCCGCGUGAAGGAAGAAGGCCUUCGGGUUGUAACCUUCUUUUACCAGGGACGAUAAUGACGGUACCUGGAGAAAAAGCAACGGCUAACUACGUGCCAGCAGCCGCGGUAAUACGUAGGUUGCAAGCGUUGUCCGGAUUUACUGGGUGUAAAGGGCGUGUAGGCGGAGCUGCAAGUCAGAUGUGAAAUCCCGGGGCUCAACCCCGGAACUGCAUUUGAAACUGUAGCCCUUGAGUAUCGGAGAGGCAAGCGGAAUUCCUAGUGUAGCGGUGAAAUGCGUAGAUAUUAGGAGGAACACCAGUGGCGAAGGCGGCUUGCUGGACGACAACUGACGCUGAGGCGCGAAAGCGUGGGGAGCAAACAGGAUUAGAUACCCUGGUA